ensembl:lncRNA
CUGGGAACAUGGCUGCAGACAUGGCCCUAGUGCUCAUUGCGGGGCUGAAGUUGCAGCCUGGAUGUUGCACAGGGCACUCACUGGCAGGACGAGGAGCCGUGAUGGUUCUGUGCCACCAAAUUUUACACUGGGUACCCAGACCUCAUUAACAGGAGUGAGAUGAUUGUGUGUGAGUGGGGGGCCCACCUCUGAGCCAUGCUCCCCUGCUUGUAUAUUCAGCUGUGGACUCACACGUUAAGCUCCCCCUCCACUGGAGCCCAAGCACCAUCCCUGCUGCCUUCUGAGCAGGAGGAAGGGCCAGCGCUGUGUCCUCAAUUCCUUGGACUCCCAGGGGUUCCUCCAACACCAGAACAUGGGCACAAGGCACACCAGUGCCCUACUACCCCAGUGCAUCACCAGCAGCCUCGCCCCCCAUGGCCGCCAGCACUCCCCAUCCCCUUGCAGCCCCUCACCCCUUGCAGCUCUCUGACAGCAGCCUCCUGCCGCAGAGCAGCCUCCAGGAGCAGAUGGAGGCAGGAUGGAGCCCGCCGGAGAUACUGACCACAUCUGCUCCUGCCUGGUCCAGGGAGCAGCGAUGCACUGUGCCGAAGCCUCUCAGGGCAGAUGGAAGGAGAACGCCUCCGCUGUGGUCAGUCCCUGAAGACAAAGUGGAUGCUGCUGGCACACUGGAAUGACGGCACGGGUUUGCUGACGGUUUUGCAUGGGAGCAUCGGUUGGGUUUACACCUACAAGUGCUUGGCUAUGGCAGCGGGGCAUCCCAUGGAAAGGCCAAAAAGCAGCAGAGAGAUCCAGGGAAGGAGGAGAUGGCACACGCUGCAAGCCUGUUCUCUGUCAGCGACGCUGCUGGGAGCACGGACACCCAUAGUGGAGCCAGCAGCUGAGGACAGCUCACAGGAGAGGAAAAAAAUGGAGCCAAGGAUGGCACUGUCUCUUUAAAAAUAAAUAAAUAGAUAAAGACUAAAAAAAAAAAAAGAAAGAAAAAAUGCAAUAAGUAUAUGCAAAUGUGUUGAGCCGAACAUCGCUGUCUGUGAAACAGAUGAGGGAGAAAGUGCUUGAAGCUAGAGAGGAAUGAGGCAGCCAGCGCUGACCCCGGGGUUAAUAAUUUUUACUUCUCCAUCUCAUUCCCUCCAUAAAAAAG